rnacentral:rRNA from 2 species
UACGAAGGUCCCGAGCGUUGUUCGGAAUCACUGGGCGUAAAGGGAGCGUAGGCGGUGCGGUAAGUCAGAUGUGAAAUCCCGGGGCUCAACCCCGGAACUGCAUCCGAUACUGCCGUGCUAGAGUGAUGGAGAGGUAGCUGGAAUUCACGGUGUAGCAGUGAAAUGCGUGGAUAUCGUGAGGAACACUCGUGGCGAAAGCGAGCUACUGGACAUUUACUGACGCUGAGGCUCGAAGGCCAGGGUAGCGAAAGGG